rnacentral:sRNA from 1 species
GCCAACGGUCACAAAAGUUGUCACUGUUGUGACAACCAAAAAAGCAGUUGUGGAUUCUGAUAAGAAGAAAGGUGAGCUGAUGGAGAAUGACCAGGAUGCCAUGGAGAGGUAAAUGUGUUUCGAUUGGAAAUGGAGGGCAUUACAGUUAAAGGAAAAGGUUGCCCCAAACCAAUUAAAUCCUGGGUCCAGUGUGGAAUUUCCAUGAAGAUCUUAAAUUCCCUCAAAAAGCAUGGCUAUGAGAAGCCCACGCCCAUCCAAACCCAAGCUAUUCCUGCUAUAAUGUCUGGACGAGAUUUGAUUGGCAUUGCCAAAACAGGAAGUGGAAAGACCAUUGCUUUUCUGUUGCCCAUGUUUAGACACAUCAUGGAUCAGAGGUCAUUAGAGGAAGGAGAGGGGCCAAUAGGUACAAUUCUUUUCAUUAAACUAUUUUUCAAAUAACAGCUUUGUUGUCAAACAGAGAGACCUUAUAGUUUAUAAUGUUCUUAAUUAUGACAAUGAAGGUGUCUUUAUGUACAUUUUCUUUAUCAAUUUGGCACUUUGGGGCUGAUUUCCCCU